UUCAGUACUUCUGAGGCUGUCAGUCUAUACUUGUAUAGCAAGCCUCUGUCUGAACCCUUGUCUUUUGCGUACCUAUGUUUCCUCGGCGGGCUUGCCCGCCGGUUGGACAAUACAAAAACCUUAUUAAUUUUCAUUCAGCGUCUGAAUAACUAUAAUAAUUACAACUUUCAACAACGGAUCUCUUGGUUCU
rnacentral:misc_RNA from 1 species